rnacentral:rRNA from 1 species
CCUACGGGCGGCAGCAGUGGGGAAUAUUGGGCAAUGGGCGCAAGCCUGACCCAGCAAUGCCGCGUGAAGGAAGAAGGCUUUCGGGUUGUAAACUUCUUUGACAGGGGAAGAGCAGAAGACGGUACCCUGAAAACAAGCCACGGCUAACUACGUGCCAGCAGCCGCGGUAAUACGUAGGUGGCAAGCGUUGUCCGGAUUGACUGGGUGUAAAGGGCGUGUAGCCGGGAAGGCAAGUCAUAUGUGAAAUCUGGAGGCUCAACCUCCAAAUUGCAUUUGAAACUGUUUGUCUUGAGUACUGGAGAGGCAGACGGAAUUCCUUGUGUAGCGGUGAAAUGCGUAGAUAUAAGGAGGAACACCAGUGGCGAAGGCGGUCUGCUGGACAGCAACUGACGGUGAGGCGCGAAAGCGUGGGGAGCAAACAGGAUUAGAUACCCCUGUAGUC